GGAGCUAAUACCGGAUACGAGACGAAGCUGCAUGGCUAUCGUCUGGAAAGUUUUUCGGUCUGGGAUGGACUCGCGGCCUAUCAGCUUGUUGGUGAGGUAACGGCUCACCAAGGCGACGACGGGUAGCCGGGCCUGAGAGGGCGACCGGCCACACUGGGACUGAGACACGGCCCAGACUCCUACGGGAGGCAGCAGUGGGGAAUAUUGCACAAUGGGCGAAAGCCUGAUGCAGCGACGCCGCGUGAGGGAUGACGGCCUUCGGGUUGUAAACCUCUUUCAGUAGGGAAGAAGCGAAAGUGACGGUACCUACAGAAGAAGCACCGGCUAACUACGUGCC
rnacentral:rRNA from 1 species